rnacentral:rRNA from 1 species
ACGAAGCGAAAGUGACGGUACCUGGAGAAGAAGCACCGGCCAACUACGUGCCAGCAGCCGCGGUAAUACGUAGGGUGCGAGCGUUGUCCGGAAUUACUGGGCGUAAAGAGUUCGUAGGCGGUUUGUCGCGUCGUUCGUGAAAACUUGGGGCUUAACUCCAAGCGUGCGGGCGAUACGGGCAGACUUGAGUACUACAGGGGAGACUGGAAUUCCUGGUGUAGCGGUGAAAUGCGCAGAUAUCAGGAGGAACACCGGUGGCGAAGGCGGGUCUCUGGGUAGUAACUGACGCUGAGGAACGAAAGCGUGGGUAGCGAACAGGAUUAGAUACCCUGGUAGUCCACGCCGUAAACGGUGGGUACUAGGUGUGGGUUCCUUUUCACGGGAUCCGUGCCGUAGCUAACGCAUUAAGUACCC